rnacentral:lncRNA from 1 species
CUGCGGGGAGUGCGGGCGGCGGGAAGGACGGGAGCGCCCCGGGGGAGGGGCAGGGAGGGGCGCCGCCGAGACCCGGAGCGGCUCCGGGAGCUGCUGCGGUGCGGAUACUUCUCCCACGGGAAUUGCCAUACCCGUCCAGUGCGCACCGGAUUCUGAAGUCCCUGCUCCGUUCCCUCAGUUACACACGCACCCAUCCCUCACCUUCGCACUUCUGUCUUCAUGCAUUCACGCAGCACCGCCCCCGCACGCAUACUCCUCCCACUGUACAAGAGCCCUGCACCAGCGCCCCCCACCGCAGGUAUUCUGUUCCUCGCCGCACGCGGCCCUCUGUGACAGCAUGCCAACCAGCCGCUCCACCAACCCACACACGUAACAAGUAGGGGUGCUUCCUUCCUUUUACCCACUAUAUUAUGCAGUCUUCUACGUACAUAGAGAUAUACCCACUCCCCCGGUGGUGUGCUGGGGAUCAAACCCAGGGCUUCCCACACGCUAGGCAAGUAUGUUACUACUGGCUCGAUCCCUCGUCCUAAACCUUUUUAUAGCCGAGCACCGAUUGCAUCCUAGGAAGGGCAGUCUUUCACUGCUUACUUACAUAUAGCAAUCGUGUAUAUCUAUACAUGCACAC